rnacentral:rRNA from 1 species
UUUCCGGUUGAUCCUGCCGGACCUGACUGCUAUCGGAUUGAUACUAAGCCAUGCGAGUCAUUGUAGCAAUACAAGGCAGACGGCUCAGUAACGCGUAGUCAACCUAACCUAUGGACGGGAAUAACCUCGGGAAACUGAGAAUAAUGCCCGAUAGAACACUAUACCUGGAAUGGUUUGUGUUCCAAAUGAUUUAUCGCCGUAGGAUGGGACUGCGGCCUAUCAGUUUGUUGGUGAGGUAAUGGCCCACCAAGACUAUUACAGGUACGGGCUCUGAGAGGAGUAGCCCGGAGAUGGGUACUGAGACACGGACCCAGGCCCUAUGGGGCGCAGCAGGCGAGAAAACUUUGCAAUGUGCGAAAGCACGACAAGGUUAAUCCGAGUGGUUUCUGCUAAAGGAACCUUUUGUCGGUCCUAGAAACACCGAUGAAUAAGGGGUGGGCAAGUUCUGGUGUCAGCCGCCGCGGUAAAACCAGCACCUCAAGUGGUCAGGAUGAUUAUUGGGCCUAAAGCAUCCGUAGCCGGCUCUGUAAGUUUUCGGUUAAAUCUGUACGCUCAACGUACAGGCUGCCGGGAAUACUGCAGAGCUAGGGAGUGGGAGAGGUAGACGGUACUCGGUAGGAAGGGGUAAAAUCCUUUGAUCUAUUGAUGACCACCUGUGGCGAAGGCGGUCUACCAGAACACGUCCGACGGUGAGGGAUGAAAGCUGGGGGAGCAAACCGGAUUAGAUACCCGGGUAGUCCCAGCUGUAAACUAUGCAAACUCAGUGAUGCAUUGACUUGUGGUCAAUGCAGUGCUGCAGGGAAGCCGUUAAGUUUGCCGCCUGGGAAGUACGUACGCAAGUAUGAAACUUAAAGGAAUUGGCGGGGGAGCACCACAAGGGGUGAAGCCUGCGGUUCAAUUGGAGUCAACGCCGGGAAUCA